GUUUGAUCCUGGCUCAGAGCGAACGUUUGCGGCGGGCCUAACACAUGCAAGUCGAACGGGCUAGCAAUAGUCAGUGGCGCACGGGUGCGUAACACGUGGGUAAUCAACCCUUCAGCUCGGGAUAACGCCUUGAAAGGGGCGCUAAUACCGGAUACGACGCGAGGAGCUUCGGCUGCUUGCGGGAAAGAUUCGCAAGGAUCUCUGAAGGACGAGCCUGCGGCCCAUCAGCUAGUUGGUGAGGUAAGAGCUCACCAAGGCGAAGACGGGUAGCUGGUCUGAGAGGAUGAUCAGCCACACUGGAACUGAGACACGGUCCAGACUCCUACGGGAGGCAGCAGUGGGGAAUAUUGCGCAAUGGGCGAAAGCCUGACGCAGCCACGCCGCGUGAGCGAUGAAGGCCUUC
rnacentral:rRNA from 1 species